AAGCGGAGCGAAGCGCGGCCGGUUGCCAUGACGACCCGAGGCCAGAACGGCCGCAGCCCAUUGGCUGAGAAGCCGGAGCCAAUGGGGAGGCGCGGUGUUGGCUGGGUCUUAAGAUGGCUGCCGGGCGGCCGGCUCCCGACGGAAGAAAGGAUGUGGAGUGGGUUGCUACCUCCUGGCCUAAACGAAAGUGAUAUUGAAUUGAAUUCUGAAGAUGAAACCCCAUUAGAGAACUCUGGACUUAACCUACAGGAAGAUAAAGAAGAUGGGGCCAUUACAAAAACAGAGGUCUCCGAUUUCCCAACAGAUGGACCAAAACCUGGAGCAGAGGCUAAUGUCAAUGCAUAUGAAGAGUGCCCUUCUGGAAUUGCCUUAAAUAUGUGGCAUAAAUUUCAAGAAUUGCAUAAAAAACAUUCUGAACAGAAAACCUCAACUUCAGGAUUCAGAAGGAAAAAAAGAAAACGCUCCAGGAAAGGUAAAUUGAAGAAUGAGGAAGAGUCUCAUAGUGAGCAGACCCCAAGUGAAACCCAGUGGAAGGAGCUUACUCAGUAUUUUGGAAUCAAUGAUAGGUUUGACCCCCCUGUUAAGAAGAAAAAAAUCGAUAAGUCGGGCCUUGAAAAGAGCAUAGACCAGGCUGUGGAAGAAUGGAACAUCGAGAAGGCUGAGGAACUCAGCAACCAGCUAGCUACUCGAGAGGAAUAAGUGAAACACAUUUUAAGCAUGUGAAGGACACAAAAUUGAUAUGACUUUUCAUCAUCAUUACAAGCCAAAAGAUUCUUUCUAUAAAAUACAUAGACCAGGCUUGUUGAAUGUUUAUCAGUUGAAGAACAUUCCAUUUAACCUAACCCAAGAAAAAUACAGUUGGAAAAUAUACCUUUUACAUGAACAGCUUGGUGUUAAAAUUGCCAAAGCAGUUGCCUGCCACAACUUUGUAAAAGCCAAAAAGGAUGCUGAAAAUUCGCAGGUUGCUCGAAAAAAGAAAAAACUUGCAUGGGGGUUUGAAGCAAAGAAGAGAUGGGAAACCAAGAGCAACAUGGGAUAUAUGUAACUUGCCAGAAUUCCUCAAGACAUUUGAGUCUUGACUUGGGUUUUUACCUGAGUCUUCAACUGCUCAAUUUGCUGAUAAUGUUAACUAUAUCAGGAAACUAAUAGAAGCUGGAAAAAUAAGUAUAAAAUUUGGGAGUUGGUUAUUAAAUCUUGUCAGUCUUUUUCUAAAGAGUUCCUUCUAUUGAAGUGAAUAAGAUGGAGUGAUCUGUUAUUUGUAUGAGAAAUCUAAGCAUACGUACUGGGGGAAAAUUAUUUAUUUAUUUAUUUAGCCCUCUAGUAUAAAAUCAGUUUUACUUUUCAUCCAUUUGGUGUAGCAUAGCCAGGGAGUUCCUUGUUCGUUCUUCUCUGUACCCAGUGGAACUGCACUCACUCUGGAAUUAUGUUUUAAGAUUGGCAUUUGUUUAUAAUAGAUUAGUAGUGCAAUGAA